rnacentral:rRNA from 1 species
CCCUUAGAUGUUCUGGGCCGCACGCGUGCUACACUGAGUGGAUCAGCGGGUCAGGUUGCGCGAAAGCGUUUCCUAAUCUUUAAAUCCGCUCGUGAUGGGGAUUGACGGUUGCAAUUUUCUGUCAUGAACGAGGAAUACCUUGUAAGCGCGGGUCAUCAUCUCGCGCUGAAUACGUCCCUGCCCUUUGUACACACCGCCCGUCGCUCCUACCGAUUGAGUGGUCCGGUGAGGCUUUGGGAUCUGAGCGGAAAGAGCGUUUCGCUGUUUCUGCUCGGAAAACUCAGUCGAACCUUAUCAUUUAGAGGAAGGAGAAGUCGUAACA